GCUCUUGGUCGCGCCUGCGUAGGAUAGGUGGGAGCCUGUGAACCCCCGCCUCCGGGUGGGGGGGAGGCGCCGGUGAAAUACCACCCUGGCGCGGCUGGGGGC
rnacentral:rRNA from 1 species